GAUGAACGCUAGCGGGAGGCUUAAUACGUGCAAGUCGAGGGGUAACAUGAGAGCUUGCUCUUGAUGACGACCGGCGCACGGGUGAGUAACGCGUACACAACCUACCUCUAAGUGGGGAAUAGCCUUUGGAAACGAAGAGUAAUACCCCAUAGCAUUAUUUCUUUUUAUGAUGAAAUAAUUAAAGCUCCGGCGCUUAGAGAUGGGUGUGCGUCCCAUUAGCUUGUUGGUAAGGUAACGGCUUACCAAGGCGACGAUGGGUAGGGGGCGUGAGAGCGUGACCCCCCANACGGGUACUGAGACACGGACCCGACUCCUACGGGAGGCAGCAGUAAGGAAUAUUGGACAAUGGGCGAAAGCCUGAUCCAGCCAUCCCGCGUGCAGGAUGACGGCCCUAUGGGUUGUAAACUGCUUUUAGAUAGGAAGAAACCCCCAUUCGUGAGUGGGGCUGACGGUACUAUCAGAAUAAGCACCGGCUAACUCCGUG
rnacentral:rRNA from 1 species